UUCUUUGUUGCAAAUUUUUGAUUGAUUCCACCACAAUUUCUUAAAGGCCAAUUCAACCUCCCUAUUGGCGUUCUCGAGUCGAUUCUUCCAAGCUAAUAGAAACUAAAAGUCCCCUUGUCCAGUCAAAUUAAUAAACUGCCCCCCACCACUUCCCAAAAACACACUAUUUUCCUAUCAGUUGCAGUUUUCCUGAGACCAUUGAUGCUACGUAGAAACACCAUCUAGCAUCUUCUCUAGUUACUUGAAAUACCUCUAAAUCUCUCAGUAGGGUUCUUGCUCCUGUUGCCUUCCCGAUCCCAAUGAAACAACAACGUAAGGUUGUACAACCCAUUCCAGGUGAAGGUUCCUAUGGGCAGACUAGGAUUAUUUUUGCAGUCAUCAAAGAAUCCUAUAAGAGAAAUCAAUGCAAGAUAAUUUGUAGAGUUUCAGAAAAAAAAAAGGAUUUCGAAGCCCAACAAAGUCUAGAUGAAGAGACACAGCCUGCGGAUGCCACAAUUCCUAUCUUUCAAAUACAGCUCGAGACUAGUCAACAUAAAAAUUGAUGAGGAGGACCUAUAAGAGGAGGAAGAUCCCAAAAAAGAAGAGAACGAGAUGUCAAAACAAGACUCGAACUCAACGCUUUGGAUGAAACUACAUUAUGGAGUUGAACAAGCAAGGUGGAGGUAACCCAACAAACAUUGUGGAGCUGUCAUGCCGAAACAGCAACAAAUCAGGAAGAUAGGGGCUCUCCUCGUUCAGAGUCGUAAUCAAAUCGUUGGGGGUGUUUUGAGUAAUCCUCAGUCUUAGUCGGAUCGGAGCAGUAGGGACUCCCCGGUGACCACUCUUCUGUAAAACUGAUUAAAGCUAUUGGUUUAUGGUUUUAUUUACUACUUUGGGUUAUGUUAUGAGAGUUUGUAAUUUCUGGGACUCUCUGGACUAUAAGACUUUUAACUGCAGGUUUAGAUUUAUUAAUAAUUUGCAUGCCAUGAUAAACUAUUUUAUGAGAUUGAUGAUUUUUACGCCAACGGUGUUUUUUUAAAAUACGAAUUUGAUUUUUAAAAUAUAUGUCUUCUUAAGACUUUCACUGUAUGUUUGGCAAAUGAACUAAUGAUGUUUUCAGUAAGUUGUAAAUGUGUGCGAAUUAUGAAAUGUGCACGUUUUUGACGAAACAACUUUGAUUUUAAAACCCAUUCUUUGUAACAUCACCAGAUUCUGCCAUAACGUCUAGGCCGGGUUUGGGGUGUUAUAUUUAGUGGUAUCAGAGUUAAGUUGCAAAACUUAGCUGUGAAUUGUGGGUUCCAAAAACUUUUUUUUAAAAAGUAUUGGAUUUAAAAUGAUUUGAAUAAUUAAGGAAGUACGUGGUACACCAAGUCUCCUACACUGAUCCUGUAAGUAUUUCUGAAUUUUUGAUAGAAAACUUUGAAAAUACUAUAGUUAGUAUUUUCUGAAACUUAGUUAGGACUGUUUCGAAAAUACUUUGGAAAACAUUUACUGGAAACCGUACUAAAAUAAUUAGAAACUGAAACUUCUAAAAAUAUCUUUAAACUACUGAUAAUUUAUGCAUAAAAUAUCUGUUAAUAAAUAUUGGAACUGAUGCGUAAAACUGUAUAAUGUAGAUAAUUCGAAUUACACUAUGAGCGCUCGUGGAGUUUGCAGGCGUGGUGGGGGCCGUAGGGGGGCUCGAACUGAGUCUUCCUCACUUGGUAGUAUGCCACAUUUGUAUACGAGUGAGACACUAAUUUCGCCUACUACUAAGACUGGGUCUCAAAGCCGUUCGGUUGGGGACGACGUAUUGUCCUAAGCCAUGCUGAGGAUUUUGGAGAGGGUCACUGGAGCCCAUGCUGGAACUGGAGGUCGUGGGUUAGUAAUUGAUGACUCCAGUCUAAUGGUGCUGAACUGUUUACGGGUGUCACUAGAGUCGCCCCUAGUAUGGCCGAGUACUGGUUAAAGGCCACAGAGAGGAUUAUGAAUAACUUAGACUGCACUCCAGAGGUGUAGUUUCCCUGCUUCGUGACGAGGCAUACCAGUGGUGGUUAAUGAUUGGGGAGGGUACUCAGUCUGAUCGUCUGACCUGGGACUUCUUUAAGACCACUUUUCAAAGCAAGUAUGUUGGAGCAAGAUUUGUGGAUGCUCGUAGGCAUGAGUUAAUGAAUCUUUGCAAGGGGAUAAAUCUGUGGUCGAGUAUGAGGCCGAGUUUUUGAGAUUGAGCCGCUAUACUCAAGGCAUGGUGGCAUCUGAGUAUAAGAGGUGCGUUUGGUUUGAGGAUGGAUUAAGAGAUAGUUUGAGGGGACUGAUUGCUCCACAAAGGGAGUGAAAGUUUGCUGUUUUAGUUGAGAAGGUGAAGAUCGUCGAGGAUGUUAAGCGCGUGGAACGCUAGAAUAGGAACCAAGAGAGGGGUAAGAAUAAGAGGGAUUCGGAGUCCUCUAGUUCUAUUUCGAGGCUUAAAAAAAAGGUCAGAUCUGAUGGACCAGUUAGAGAGGGGGCUCCUAUUUCUCCUGCUGGGAUCUAGCCGUGUAGUGACUGUGGUAGGUGCCAUCCGGGUGAGUCUUGGAGGAGGAUUAGGGCUUUUCUAAGGUGUGGGUCUCUUGAGCACCGUAUUAGGGAGUGUCCACAGUAGGAAGAUUAGAUGCAAGCUUUAGCUCCGGGUUCUGUGUAGCCUCAAAAGGUAGUGCAGCAUUGAUCUAGGGGCCGUGGACAGGCUAGGGGUGGUAAUGGUAUAGGUCGUGGGCAGAGAGCACCGGGCAGAGCUGUUGGUCAGACUGAGGUGAGACAGCCUGCACUGGUAUAUACUACACAACGCCGAGAGGAUAGAGAUGCUCAAGAUGUUAUCACUGGUUAUGGAGGGUUCGUGUUUGCUGUUGCGUCAAAAAUGAAACAGGUGUAUACCCAAAAUGCAGAACAACGAGAUUCGGUAAAAGCCAAAAAAAUGUUCUGUCGACACCAAACGGGCGUGUGGUUGACAAAGGCAUGACCGUAUGCAGUACACGGUCGUGUGGCGGCUCGAGUAUGGCCAUGUGGGUCACACGGGUUGGGCCAAGUUGAGCGUGUGGGCCCACACAGGCGUGUAGUUUUUGGGCCAAGCCAUGUGAGCCAAACAGGCAAGGGCAAUCUGGGCAUGUGGGCCCACACGGGCAUGUGGGCUCAAAUUUUUUAAAUUUCUCCUAGGGUCGAAUGGGUCGUCACAAUCAACUGUGGGCCUACCGUAGGGUAAUCGUCAGUCUUAGGCGGAUCAUUGCAGUAGGGACUCCGCGGUGACCACUCUUCUGUAAAACUGAUUAAAGUUAUUGGUUUAUGGUUUUAUUUACUACUUUGGGUUAUUUUUUGAGAGUUUGUAAUUUCUGAGAUUGUCUGGACUAUAAGACUUUUAACUGCGGGUUUAGAUUUAUAUAUAAUUUGCAUGCUAUGAUGAACUA